UGGGGAAUAUUGUGCAAUGGGGGAAACCCUGACACAGCGACGCCGCGUGAGCGAAGAAGGCCUUCGGGUCGUAAAGCUCAAUAGUAUGGGAAGAAGGAAGUGACGGUACCAUACGAAAGCCCCGGCUAACUACGUGCCAGCAGCCGCGGUAAUACGUAGGGGGCGAGCGUUGUCCGGAAUUACUGGGCGUAAAGAGCACGUAGGCGGCUAUAAAAGUCAGAUGUGAAAAACCUGGGCUCAACCGAGGGUAUGCAUCUGAAACUAAAUAGCUUGAGUCAAGGAGAGGAGAGCGGAAUUCCUGGUGUAGCGGUGAAAUGCGUAGAGAUCAGGAAGAAUACCAGUGGCGAAAGCGGCUCUCUGGACUUGAACUGACGCUGAGGUGCGAAAGCGUGGGGAGCAAACAGG
rnacentral:rRNA from 1 species